rnacentral:rRNA from 1 species
UAGGGAAUCUUCGACAAUGGGGGGAACCCUGACCGAGCAACGCCGCGUGAGUGAAGAAGGUUUUCGGAUCGUAAAGCUCUGUUGUUAAGGAAGAACGAGUGUGAGAAUGGAAAGUUCAUGCUGUGACGGUACUUAACCAGAAAGGGACGGCUAACUACGUGCCAGCAGCCGCGGUAAUACGUAGGUCCCGAGCGUUGUCCGGAUUUAUUGGGCGUAAAGCGAGCGCAGGCGGUUAGAAAAGUCUGAAGUGAAAGGCAGUGGCUCAACCAUUGUAGGCUUUGGAAACUGUUUAACUUGAGUGCAGAAGGGGAGAGUGGAAUUCCAUGUGUAGCGGUGAAAUGCGUAGAUAUAUGGAGGAACACCGGUGGCGAAAGCGGCUCUCUGGUCUGUAACUGACGCUGAGGCUCGAAAGCGUGGGGAGCGAACAGG